rnacentral:lncRNA from 1 species
UGUUAUAAAAUCUGGCCAGCAACAACAAUAACAGUAACAACAUAAAAACUCCGCAAACUGAAACAACUCAGAUUUCUCCCUGCUUGUUAAGAAGUGAAGCCCGGCACCGGAUGUGGUGGCUCAUACCAUUUGCAACCCUCCAGGUAAAAGAAGUCAGUUUGCUAGAAAAUUUCUUUUGGCACUGGAAGUGCAGGAAAUUAAUAAGAAUGAGCUGAAUAUAAGUUGUAUUU